AUCAAAUUUUAUUUGUCACAUACACAUGGUUAGCAGACGUUAAUGCGAGCGUAGCGAUAUGCUUGUUCUUCUAGGUCCGACCACGCAGUAAUGUCUAACAAAUGAUUGAACAAUUUCACAACUACCUUUAACACACAAGUGUAAAUGAAUGAAUAAGAAUAUGUACAUAUAAAUACAGUGGGGAGAACAAGUAUUUGAUACACUGCCGAUUUUGCAGGUUUUCCUACUUACAAAGCAUGUAGAGGUCUGUAAUUUUUAUCAUAGGUACACUUCAACUGUGAGAGACGGAAUCUAAAACAAAAAUCCAUAAAAUCACAUUGUAUGAUUUUUAAGUAAUUAAAUGGCAUUUUAUAGCAUGACAUAAGUAUUUGAUACAUCAGAAAAGCAGAACUUAAUAUUUGGUACAGAAACCUUUGUUUGCAAUCACAGAGAUCAUACGUUUCCUGUAGUUCUUGGCCAGGUUUGCACACACUGCAGCAGGGAUUUUGGCCCACUCCUCCAUACAGACCUUCUCCAGAUCCUUCAGGUUUCGGGGCUGUCACUGGGCAAUACAGACUUUCAGCUCCCUCCAAGGAUUUUCUAUUGGGUUCAGGUCUGAAGACUGACUAGGCCACUCCAGGACCUUGAGAUGCUUUUACGGAGCCACUCCUUAGUUGCCCUGGCUGUGUGUUUCUGGUCGUUGUCAUGCUGGAAGACCCAGUCACGACCCAUCUUCAAUGCUCUUACUGAGGGAAGGAGGUUGUUGGCCAAGAUCUCGCGAUACAUGGCCCCAUCCAUCCUCCCCUCAAUACGGUGCAGUCGUCCUGUCCCCUUUGCAGAAAAGCAUCCCCAAAGAAUGAUGUUUCCACCUCCAUGCUUCACGGUUGGGAUGGUGUUCUUGGGGUUGUACUCAUCCUUCUUCUUUCUUCAAACAAAGCGACUGGAGUUUAGACCAAAAAGCUCUAUUGUUGUCUCAUCAGACCAGAUGACCUUCUACCAUUCCUCCUCUGGAUCAUCCAGAUGGUCAUUGGCAAACUUCAGACGGGCCUGGACAUGCGCUGGCUUGAGCAGGGGGACCUUGCGUGCGCUGCCGUAUUUUAAUCUAUGACGGAGUAGUGUGUUACUAAUGGUUUUCUUUGAGACUGUGGUCCCAGCUCUCUUCAGGUCAAUGACCAGGUCCUGCCGUGUAGUUCUGGGCUGAUCCCUCACCUUCCUCAUGAUCAUUGAUGCCCCACAAGGUGAGAUCUUGCAUGGAGCCCCAGACCGAGGGUGAUUGACCGUCAUCUUGAACUUCUUCCAUUUUCUAAUAAUUGCGCCAACAGUUGUUGCCUUCUCACCAAGCUGCUUGCCUUAUUGUCCUGUAGCCCAUCCCAGCCUUGUGCAGGUCUACAAUUUUAUCCCUGAUGUCCUUACACAGCUUUCUGGUCUUGGCCAUUGUGGAGAGGUUGGAGUCUGUUUGAUUGAGUGUGUGGACAGGUGUCUUUUAUACAGGUAAAUAGUUCAAACAGGUGCAGUUAAUACAGGUAAUGAGUGGAGAACAGGAGGGCUUCUUAAAGAAAAACUAACAGGUCUGUGAGAGCCAGAAUUCUUACUGGUUGGUAGGUGAUCAAAUACUUAUGUCAUGCAAUAAAAUGCAAAUUAAUUACUUAAAAAUCAUACAAUGUGAUUUUCUGGAUGUUUGUUUUAGAUUCCGUCUCUCACAGUUGAAGUGUACCUAUGAUACAAAUUACAGACCUCUACAUGCUUUGUAAGUAGGAUAACCUGCAAAAUCAGCAGUGAAUCAAAUACUUGUUCUCCCCACUGUAUAUGGAUGAGUGAUGGCCGAAUGGCAUAGGCAAGAUGCAGUAGAUGGUAUAGAGUACAGUAUGAGAUGAGUAAUGUAGGGUAUGUAAACAUUAUAUAAAGUGGCAUUGUUUAAAGUGACUAGUGAAACAGUUAUUACAUCCAAUGUUUAAUUAUUAAAAUGGCUAGAGAUUUGAGUCAGUAUGUUGGCAGCAGCCACUCAAUGUUAGUGAUGGCUGUUUAACAGUCUGAUGGCCUUGAGAAAGAAGCUGUUUUUCAGUCUCUCGGUCCCAGCUUUGAUGCACCUGUACUGACCUCGCCUUCUGGAUGCUAGCAGGGUGAACAGACAGUGGCUCGGGUGGUGGUUGUCCUUGAUGAUCUUUUUGGCCUUCCUGUGACAUCAGGUGGCGUAGGUAUCCUGAAGGGCAGGUAGUUUGCCCCCGGUGAUGCGUUGUGCAGACCUCACUACCCUCUGGAGAGCCUUACGGUUGUGGGCGGAGCAGUUGCCGUACCAGGCGGUGAUACAGCCCGACAGGAUGCUCUCGAUUGUGCAGCUGUAAAAGUUUGUGAGUGUUUUUGGUGACAAGCCAAAUUUCUUCAGCCUCCUGAGGUUGAAGAGGCGCUGCUGCGUCUUCUUCACCAUGCUGUCUGUGUGGGUGGACCAUUUCAGUUUGUCCGUGAUGUCUACGCCGAGGAACUUAAAACUUUCCACCUUCUCCACUACUGUCCCAUCGAUGUGGAUGGGGGGGUGCUCCCUCUGCUGUUUCCUGAAGUCCACGAUCAUCUCCUUUGUUUUGUUGACGUUGAGUGCGAGGUUAUUUUCCUGACACCACACUCCGAGGGCCCUCACUUCCUUCCUGUAGGCAGUCUCGUCGUUGUUGGUAAUCAAGCCUACCACUCUAGUGUCGUCUGCAAACUUGACUGAGUUGGAGGCGUGAUGGCCACGCAGUUGUGGGUGAAUAGGGAGUACAGGAAGGGGCUGAGCACGCACCCUUGUGAAGCCCCAGUGUUGAGGAUCAGCGGGGUGGCUACAAUAGUCAUUUACAACAUUAACAAUGUCUACACUGUAUUUCUGAUCAAUUUGAUGUUAUUUUAAUGGACAAAAAAAUGUGCUUUUCUUUCAAAAACAAGGAAUUUAUGCAUGCCCGGGCGGUGUGCAGACAAACAAAUUAAAAUUCCAUUUAAAUUGUAAUACUUCUGACAGCCAUCUGUUUAACUCUGCCCAUAACUUUUGGACUUUAUAACGUUCCCAGAACUCAUGGAUUAUUGAGUCAUUGUUAGUUUUACACGUCAGAGAUGAUUCUGCCAUUGUGCUGUAGAAUUUGUGAAUCAUGUCUCUUGUAUAAGAAAUUAUAUACAUUAGUUUAUACUGGAUUAAGCCUACCUUUUUGACAACUGUAACUUCGUUAGUUGUGUCCCAACAUUCCCUCCAACAUCAGUUAUUUUUAAGUCUUGGUUCCAAUAGUUAAUAUUUUUUUCUAAGAGGUUGUCAGUUGGAUAUGCUCUCUGCAAAGUUUUAUAUAUCUUACCUAUCACAUGAACAGCCUUUUCUGACUCAAAUAAGAUUCCCUCGAUGUUUCUCUGAUAUCCAAAUGACUUAAAAAGCAACAUUUCAUGAUAUGAAACUUUUAAGUUGCAAAAUUUGAAAAUACUGUAUCUACAUUGGUCAGUCCAAAAUGACUUUUUAAUUCUGUCACGGAAAUACAUUUAUUUCCUGUUACCAAGUCAUUUAUGGUUUCUAUGCCUUUAGUUGUCCAUGUGGACCAAUUUAUCAGUGAAUCGUGAAAAGCUAUCCAAGACUUGUUCCAAAUGGUUGUGUUUUUAGGGAGUGACAUUGGUUCUUGUAAAAUAUGUUUGAUCUUCUUCCAUAUUGUUAUACUGUUUUUAACUAUGAAGUUGUUCACGUUCUUAGCUUUAUCUUUGAAAAUAGACACGUAAAAAGAUUCUGGGGAUGAGCAUGCGCAUUUUGAUUAUGUACCCAUUGUUCCUCGUGAGUGCAUUUAACUAUAUGUCACAAGUAAAAGCCUUGGGUAGAGAGUUGAUAUAAUUCCAAGUCUGGAAGUUUAAAACCACCCUCAGACUCAGGAAGGUUAAAAGCACCCUCAGACUCAGGAAGGUUAAAAGCACCCUCAGACUCAGGAAGGUUAAAAGCACCCUCAGACUCAGGAAGGUUAAAAAAAACCUCGGACUCAGGAAGGUUAAUAGCACCCUCAGACUCAGGAAGGUUAAAAGCACCCUCAGACUCAGGAAGGUUAAUAGCACCCUCAGACUCAGGAAGGUUAAAAGCACCCUCAGACCCAGGAAGGUUUAAACCGCCCUCAGACUCAGGAAGGUUAAAAGCACCCUCAGACUAAGGAAGGUUAAAAGCACCCUCAGACUCAGGAAGGUUAAAAGCACCCUCAGACUCAGGAAGGUUAAAAGCACCCUCAGACUCAGGAAGGUUAAAAGCACCCUCAGACUCAGGAAGGUUAAAACCACCCUCAGACUCAGGAAGGUUAAAAGCACCCUCAGACUCAGGAAGGUUAAAACCACCCUCAGACUCAGGAAGGUUAAAAGCACCCUCAGACUCAGGAAGGUUAAAACCACCCUCAGACUCAGGAAGGUUAAAACCACCCUCAGACUCAGGAAGGUUAAAACCACCC
ensembl:lncRNA